rnacentral:rRNA from 1 species
GGAGUUAGCCGGUGCUUCUUCUGUGAGUGAUGUCCUUCCUGCCGGCUAUUAACCCGCAGGCCUUCUUCCUCACUGAAAGUGCUUUACAACCCGAAGGCCUUCUUCACACACGCGGCAUGGCUGGAUCAGGGUUGCCCCCAUUGUCCAAUAUUCCCCACUGCUGCCUCCCGUAGGAGUCUGGGCCGUGUCUCAGUCCCAGUGUGGCUGAUCAUCCUCUCAGACCAGCUACGGAUCGUCGCCUUGGUGAGCCGUUACCUCACCAACCAGCUAAUCCGACAUAGGCUCAUCCGAUAGCGCGAGGCCCGAAGGUCCCCCGCUUUCCCCCGUAGGGCCGUAUGCGGUAUUAGCCUGGGUUUCCCCAGGUUAUCCCCCACUACCCGGGCAGAUUCCUAUGCAUUACUCACCCGUCCGCCGCUCGCCACCAGGGAGCAAGCUCCCCGUGCUGCCGCUCGACUUGCAUGUGUUAGGCCUGCCGCCAGCGUUCAAUCUGAGCCAUGAUCAAACUCUGA